CUAGCAUCGACGCGAGGUUCAAGUCACCCGUACCCCAAACCGACUCAGGUGGUCAGGUAGAGAAUACCAAGGAGAUCGAGAGAAUCGUGGUUAAGGAACUCGGCAAAAUGCCCCCGUAACUUCGGGAGAAGGGGGGCCUGAGGCGUGAAGGGAUUUACUCCUGGAGCGUUUGAAGGCCGCAGAGACCAGUGGGAAGCGACUGUUUACUAAAAACACAGGUCCGUGCUAAGUCGCAAGACGAUGUAUACGGACUGACGCCUCCCCGGUGCUGGAAGGUUAAGAGGAACGGUUAGCCGUAAGGCGAAGCUGAGAAUUUAAGCCCCAGUAAACGGCGGUGGUAACUAUAACCAUCCUAAGGUAGCGAAAUUCCUUGUCGGGUAAGUUCCGACCUGCACGAAUGGCGUAACGACUUCCCAGCUGUCUCAACCGCGAACUCGGCGAAAUUGCACUACGAGUAAAGAUGCUCGUUACGCGCAGAAGGACGGAAAGACCCCGUGACCUUUACUAUAGCUUUGUAUUGGUGUUCGGUGUGGCUUGUGUAGGAUAGGUGGGAGACUUUGAAGCUUGGACGCUAGUUCAGGUGGAGUCAUUGUUGAAAUACCACUCUGGUCACUCUGGAUAUCUAACUUCGGACCGUAAUCCGGUUCAGGGACAGUGCAUGGUGGGUAGUUUAACUGGGGCGGUUGCCUCCCAAAAAGUAACGGAGGCGCCCAAAGGUUACCUCAACCUGGUUGGUAAUCAGGUGUCGAGUGUAAGUGCACAAGGGAGCUUGACUGUGAGAGUGACAACUCGAGCAGGGACGAAAGUCGGGACUAGUGAUCCGGCAGUGGCUUGUGGAAGCGCUGUCGCUCAACGGAUAAAAGGUACCUCGGGGAUAACAGGCUGAUCUUGCCCAAGAGUCCAUAUCGACGGCAUGGUUUGGCACCUCGAUGUCGGCUCGUCGCAUCCUGGGGCUGGAGUAGGUCCCAAGGGUUGGGCUGUUCGCCCAUUAAAGCGGUACGCGAGCUGGGUUUAGAACGUCGUGAGACAGUUCGGUCCCUAUCCUCUGCGCGCGCAGGAAAUUUGAGAAGAGCUAUCCCUAGUACGAGAGGACCGGGAUGGACGAACCUCUGGUGUGUCAGUUGUUCCGCCAGGAGCACCGCUGAUUAGCUACGUUCGGAACGGAUAACCGCUGAAAGCAUCUAAGCGGGAAGCCGGCUUCAAGAUGAGAUUUCCAUGGCUUAGGCCGAGAGACCCGCAGCUAGACUACUGCGUUGAUAGGCUGGAUGUGGAAGUGGGGACUAAAGACCCAUGGAGCUGACCAGUACUAAUAGGUCGAUAAAUUGAUAAA
rnacentral:rRNA from 1 species